rnacentral:tRNA from 1 species
GGGGAUAUGGCGAAAUCGGU